GCCUGCGUGGUGGGGUGGUCAGUACGUUCGACCCGUAUUCGAGAGGUCCGUGGCUCGAAUCCCGGCGAGGGCA
rnacentral:tRNA from 1 species